GGAAGAAUGGUAUAUAGUUCCUCACAGUGUCUCCUGCAGUGUGUUGGUUGGAUCAUCAAAUCUGUGAAUCGUAAUGCUUACAUCUUGAUUGCAAUAACAGGAAAAGGCUUUUUUAAGUCUUCUGAGAUUGCAACUGAUCUCAUUAUCAGUAACAUCCUUCGGAUUGGAAAGGUGAACGUCAUUGGUGAUGUUAUUCUCUUUCUUGGGAAGCUGUGUGUCAGUCUUGCAAGUGCACUUUUUGCUUUUCU
rnacentral:misc_RNA from 1 species